rnacentral:tRNA from 1 species
GCCUCAGUGGCCAAGUGGUAAGGCGUCGGUCUCGUAAAACGAAGAUCAUGGGUUCAACCCCUAUCUAAGGCU